rnacentral:lncRNA from 1 species
UCUUCAUUCUUUGGGUGUGGGAGUUCUUAACUGGCCAACACUCCGCUCCAUACAGCAAGGCCGGACGGACUACCACCCUAUAGAAUUUACCUUUAAGCUUGGGCGGCACCUUCUUAUCACACAGCACCCCCGAUGCAAGUUUCCACUUCAUCCAUCCCGCCCCGAUACGGUGCGAGACAUCCUCGUCAAUCUCACCGUUACUCUGGAUCAC